ACAAGACUCAGAGGCAUGAAGUGCAAGACAAAGGUUUCAAAAUGAGCAAGUGUCUUCCAUGGAAGCGCUCUGUAUCCUAAGCCGAAAAACUGGGGACAAGCAGGCACACAUUCCUGUCAUUCCCUGGACUCCAAGUUCGGGUCCUGUGUGGACACCAUCUACCCACCAGAACCUCACUUCCAUCUUGACUUCAGAGCCCAAGUUAAAUCAGCGAUCGUUGGUGUCUUAGUUCAUUCAGGCUGCUUAAACAAAAUUUCAUAGACCGAGUGCCUUAUAAACAGAAAUUUAUUUCUCACAGUUCUGAAGGCUGGGAAGUCCAAGAUCAAGGAGCCUACAGAUUCAGCGUCUGGAGAAGACUCACUUCCUCACAUGGACAGCCACCUUCUCACUGUAACCUGAGUGAUGGAAGGGGCGAGGAAUUUCUCCGGGGUCUCUUUCAUAAGGGCACCAACGACACUCAUGAGAGCUCUGCCCUCAUGACAUAACCACCUCUCAAAUCUCACUCCCCAAAACCACCACCUCGGGGUGUAGGAUUUCUACACGUGGACCAUAGCCCGUCUACAGGAGGCUGACCUUGAAAGAUUUCCUAUGGGCACCUCUGCUCUCUGGCUCCUGCUGGACUCAGCCGUGAGAGAGGAACCAAUGAGAAAUUGGCAGGAGGGAGAAGGGCCCUGCCUGAUGGGAGUCAUCUCUGAGAACAAACCCCUGGAGGUCACAGGACGAGGCCACGAAGGCAGCCACCCUGAUCUUCCCAUGGACGGUGUGAGCGCAGAACUCGAGGGAGGUCACUAGGCACAAGAAAACACAAGCGCCUACGUGUAGAAGCUGGCUCAGAGGCCGGGCUUCGGGGAUUUUCCAAAUGGUUGCC